rnacentral:rRNA from 1 species
UACGUAGGGGGCUAGCGUUGUCCGGAUUUAUUGGGCGUAAAGAGCGUGUAGGCGGCCAGGUAGGUCGGUUGUGAAAACUCGAGGCUCAACCUCGAGAUGUCGACCGAAACCAUCUGGCUAGAGUCCGGAAGAGGAGAAUGGAAUUCCCGGUGUAGUGGUGAAAUGCGUAGAUAUCGGGAGGAACACCAGUGGCGCAAGCGGCCGCCUGGCACUGACCUGACACUGAGCCACGACGGCGUGGGGAGCAAACGGG